GCGGAGGAAAAGAAACCAACAGGGAUUGCCUCAGUAACGGCGAGUGAAGCGGCAACAGCUCAAAUUUGAAAUCUGGCCCUAGGCCCGAGUUGUAAUUUGCAGAGGAUGCUUUUGGCGAGGUGCCUUCCGAGUUCCCUGGAACGGGACGCCAUAGAGGGUGAGAGCCCCGUCUGGUCGGACACCGAGCCUCUGUAAAGCUCCUUCGACGAGUCGAGUAGUUUGGGAAUGCUGCUCUAAAUGGGAGGUAUAUGUCUUCUAAAGCUAAAUACCGGCCAGAGACCGAUAGCGCACAAGUAGAGUGAUCGAAAGAUGAAAAGCACUUUGAAAAGAGAGUUAAAUAGCACGUGAAAUUGUUGAAAGGGAAGCGUUUACGACCAGACUUGGGCCGGUUGAUCAUCCAGCGUUCUCGCUGGUGCACUCUGCCGGCCCAGGCCAGCAUCAGUUCGCCCCGGGGGAUAAAGGCGGCGGGAAUGUGGCUCCUCGGAGUGUUAUAGCCCGCCGUGCAAUACCCUGAGGUGGACUGAGGUUCGCGCUCUGCAAGGAUGCUGGCGUAAUGGUCGUCAACGACCCGUCUUGAAACACGGACCAAGGAGUCGUCUUCGUAUGCGAGUGUUCGGGUGUAAAACCCCUACGCGUAAUGAAAGUGAACGCAGGUGAGAGCUUCGGCGCAUCAUCGACCGAUCCUGAUGUUCUCGGAUGGAUUUGAGUAAGAGCAUACGGGGCCGGACCCGAAAGAAGGUGAACUAUGCCUGUAUAGGGUGAAGCCAGAGGAAACUCUGGUGGAGGCUCGCAGCGGUUCUGACGUGCNNAUCGAUCGUCAAAUAUGGGCAUGGGGGCGAAAGACUAAUCGANCCUUCUAGU
rnacentral:rRNA from 1 species